rnacentral:rRNA from 1 species
GGGUAGUUUGACUGGGGCGGUCUCCUCCUAAAGAGUAACGGAGGAGCACGAAGGUUGGCUAAUCCUGGUCGGACAUCAGGAGGUUAGUGCAAUGGCAUAAGCCAGCUUGACUGCGAGCGUGACGGCGCGAGCAGGUGCGAAAGCAGGUCAUAGUGAUCCGGUGGUUCUGAAUGGAAGGGCCAUCGCUCAACGGAUAAAAGGUACUCCGGGGUUAACAGGCUGAUACCGCCCAAGAGUUCAUAUCGACGGCGGUGUUUGGCACCUCGAUGUCGGCUCAUCACAUCCUGGGGCUGAAGUAGGUCCCAAGGGUAUGGCUGUUCGCCAUUUAAAGUGGUACGCGAGCUGGGUUCAGAACGUCGUGAGACAGUUCGGUCCCUAUCUGCCGUGGGCGCUGGAGAACUGAGGGGGGCUGCUCCUAGUACGAGAGGACCGGAGUGGACGCAUCACUGGUGUUCGGGUUGUCAUGCCAAUGGCACUGCCCGGUAGC